rnacentral:rRNA from 1 species
AUGGGGAUCUCGCCGUCGCCGACCGACCGCGCCGCCGCUCCGGCCAGGCUGCCGCCGGUGCGGUACUACGUGCCGGCCGUCUGGGAGAUAAAGCGUGAGGAGGACCCCGUCCACGACCCAGACUCCCCGCAGUCCCCGAGCCAGAUCGGCGACGACGUGCCGCCGCUGGUGUUCCCCAACCCCAACCCCUCCCCCUCCUGGCUAUCCCGCCGGACGGCGUUCGAGCGCCACCUUCCCGCCACCCACGACGAGCCGCCGCCGUCGCCGCCGCCGCCGGAAGAACAACCCGCGCGGCGCCCGGAGGACGAGGACCCGGACCUGUACUUCUGCCUCAAAGACCCCAACGACCCCGAGUGCGUGCGCCGGUGCCACGAGGUCCAGAGCAAGCGGUACGCCGUGCACGCGCUGCGGGGCUACAACGCCGACUCUGGCAACGGCGUCAAGUACGAGCUGGUCGAGGGCAGCGCCAGGAGCAACAGCAUCCUGCUCGACUGCGCCGAGAUCCUCGGCCACGUGGUCUUCACCGCCAGGCCUGCCGCCGCCGGCGGUGGACGGGAUCGGACCUUCUUCGCCGAGGUUCGCAUGCCGGACCAUGCCCUCGCCUGCAUGAUUUCGUUGGACGACGACAGAGACUGCUACUACCGAGGGGCGGCUGCCAACGACGACGAGCUGUGCCAGUUCUGUAGAAAGGACCUCAGGCACCCGGAGGUGCAUCCGGAGAUCAGGAGACCACCUCGUGGGACGUCGGCGACGGAAACAAUCAUGGAUUGCGAUUGA